rnacentral:lncRNA from 1 species
GUUUGUUAGCUAUCUAGAAGUUGUCCAGGGCUCCCUGAGGGAGGCCAGCACAAGAGCUCUGCCAUAAAAGGACAUUGGACAGAAGUGAAGAGUCCAAUCAGAAACUCUUUUUGAGAGACUGAACGCAAAGCAUUCAGAGAGUCAGCAGGCUGGAGAGGCCAAGACACACACACGAAGAAGGCAAUUGAGAGCUGUACUAGCCUGGCAUGCAGACAGCAGCUUUAGAAUCAGAUCUGCCUUCUGGCGGCUUCCCACCUAGGAGCCAUGGGACCUUUGUGAAGUCACCAAUUGUGCUGUGGAUGCUUCAUUUGUGAAGGAGAACAGGACUGCCUUGUGAAAUUACGGAUGGUGCUACUAAAACAUAUCAAUAAUUUGAAUUUCACUUUUGUGGAUGCUUUAAACAUCAUAGUCAUUAGAAGGUGGAUCUGGCUGAUUGUACUUUAAGUUUUCAGUUUGAGCUGGAGCUUUGUAUUAUAACAGGAGGGUACUGGACAAGAUGAGGAAACUGAGGUACAGAUGGGAAACUUGCUCAAGUUCACACAGCAAUUAAGUGAUCAAGUCCAAGAGCAAAACCAGGCAGGCUGGCUCCAGAGCUCACGAUAGUCCACCACUGCUUUCCACCAUCACUACGGAAUCAAGUCCAUGAGGAUACUCACCUUAUGUCAGUUGCCUAAGUUGGAAAUUAUAGAAUCUUCAAAUUGGAAGGGACGUUAUCAUCCAAGAUUUCAACUUUCUACUCACUGCAAAAUCCCUUCUGGAACUUCCCAGAUUGAUGAAUUUUCAUCAGCUCUGCUUGAGUACUCCCAGUGACUUGGAAAAAAAACACUGUAAUAUGGAUAUGAAAUAUAAACUGUUCAUGGAUAAAUUAUUGCAUAAUAAAAACAUGCCUAAUGGCUACACUCCCCUAAUAUGUUCAUUUGACUUCCCAGGAUUUAGCAACCAGGGCCUGGAAGGCAGACAAAGGUAACUGGCCCCAUGUGAUAAAAACAGGCCCGGGAGCAUCUUCAUUAAGGCAGGCAGUUUUGGGCCACCCGAUCAUGACCAUGGAUCUACGUGCUGGAACUUGAAAGUAUGUCCACGCUCAAGAUUUCUGUCUCUUCUAAAGCAAGAAAGGACUGGUUUUGCAUGCCCUGCCUAUGCACAUCUUUAUGAAAAUGUAACCUUUUCACUCACUUUCUGAACUCCACAAAAGAGUCAGCUUUCUCCUGUUGGUGAUGAAACCAGCUGUUGAAAUACUUCAAUUGGGUUGCAGUUGCUUC